rnacentral:rRNA from 1 species
GCCUACGGGGGGCAGCAGUAGGGAAUCUUCCACAAUGGACGAAAGCCUGAUGGAGCAACGCCGCGUGGGUGAAGAAGGUCUUCGGAUCGUAAAACCCUGUUGUUAGAGAAGAAAGUGCGUGAGAGUAACUGUUCACGUUUCGACGGUAUCUAACCAGAAAGCCACGGCUAACUACGUGCCAGCAGCCGCGGUAAUACGUAGGUGGCAAGCGUUAUCCGGAUUUAUUGGGCGUAAAGGGAACGCAGGCGGUCUUUUAAGUCUGAUGUGAAAGCCUUCGGCUUAACCGGAGUAGUGCAUUGGAAACU